GAUGAACGCUAGCUACAAGCUUAACACAUGCAAGUCGAGGGGAAACGGCAUUGAGUGCUUGCACUCUUUGGACGUCGACCGGCGCACGGGUGAGUAACGCGUAUCCAACCUUCCCAUUACUGUGGGAUAACCUGCCGAAAGGCAGACUAAUACCGCAUAGUCUUCGAUGACGGCAUCAGAUUUGAAGUAAAGAUUUAUCGGUAAUGGAUGGGGAUGCGUCUGAUUAGCUUGUUGGCGGGGUAACGGCCCACCAAGGCGACGAUCAGUAGGGGUUCUGAGAGGAAGGUCCCCCACAUUGGAACUGAGACACGGUCCAAACUCCUACGGGAGGCAGCAGUGAGGAAUAUUGGUCAAUGGACGGAAGUCUGAACCAGCCAAGUAGCGUGCAGGAUGACGGCCCUAUGGGUUGUAAACUGCUUUUGUAUGGGGAUAAAGUUAGGGACGUGUCCCUAUUUGCAGGUACCAUACGAAUAAGGACCGGCUAAUUCCGUG
rnacentral:rRNA from 1 species